ensembl:lncRNA
AUGCGCUUUGAAAUCCAGACCACACCAGGACCGUUGGUUUGGAAAGGACACAUGAGGGUACUGCCUGUCUUGUUUUCAGAGCUCGUUAAAAGUGACAUUUGCUGUACAUUUGGAAUUCCAAAGCCUGUUCAGACAAAUUACGAGCUAAGUCAGUCCCCAACAAAGGCAGUUAGCCUUGUAGAAGUCGGUGAAUUAACUGAUGAAUACCCCUUGGCUGACUAUUUGAUUGGACAUGUGCAGAUGGUAACGUUAAAGAGAUUUUUCUGCUGCAAAGGAUGACAUUGAUGCAGCUUGUGAACUUGCCAUCAGAGGACUGUGUAUCUAUCUUAAUGAGGACUCUAAAGAUCUCAUUCAGGAGUAUGCGGUGAGUAGUUAGAGCUUAACUGAUGGAAUCUGUACUAUGUUCAACAAGCAAAAUAUUAAUACAUCUAAAAAACAUGGUUUCAUCAAAUAUGCACACUGCAACAUAAAUGUAAAAAAUUAUAAUUUUAUCCACUAGACAUGUAGCAUUAAUUGUAAUACAUAUUCAUCUUUUUUUCUGUCUUUAGGACAUGGAAGAAGAUCUUUUACAGUGUGCGAUUGAGAAGACUACCAUGGGCAUCUUCGUGAUAAAGCACACUGCAGACAAUGAAGCCCAUGAUGUAGGCAUUGUGCUAGAGGGUGUAGCAGUGCUUCAGGACAUCGACAGUGUGGAUUUUGCAACUUCAAUGUUUUUGGUCUAAUUUAUGCUCUUAACCUGCAGUACCCCACAAAGUUGCGUUUUACAUAUGAAAUUUAGCAAAAACUCAUCAUGGACUUGGAUGCGGGUGAAUUCUCGAUCAAGGCCCAAAAUUUCAAAUCUGAACUCCACCAGUGAGAUGGACUGAUUUUUGAAUGACUACUGAGACUACAAACAAUCAACCUCGGAAAAUUUCAGCAGCCUUCAUGCAAGACCACUGCAGAGGGUAAACCGUGAUCUUGUUGUUUAGACUGUUCCCCUUUGCCUGCUCUCGUUUCUUUAUCUUUUUUUUUCUGUCUGAAUUUGGCCCUUCGUUGGACUGGCUCAGAAGUUGAUUGAUUAGAGAGCUGAAUCUAUGAAACAUGGUUGAACUAGCAUAAAUAAGAUACUUUGUUUAUAGUUUAGGUAAGGGUCAGAUACUGUAUUUUCACAUUGUUUUGUAAUGUCUAUAUAUAAUUAUCUUUGAAACUAAAGCGUUUUUCUUGAAAUAACAUUUCCAGGUAGGGCUGCACGAUAUUGGGAAAAAAUGACAUUGCGAUAUUUUAUUUUUCUGCGAUAUAUAUUGCGAUAUGAAAUCUAAUCUAUUUUUUUCUUACAAACAAAAAUUGGGUGAGCACACUUACAUUCUCAUUUUAAAUGAUGUAAACAUCGACACCAUCGUGUCAAUUGAUUAAUAUGUGCGAGGGAGAGAGAGCAAGACAGCGCUCGUGUUGUUUGAAGCUGGUGAGCUUGCGGCCGGGGCUCACUCUCUCUCUCCCUCUCUCUUUCUCUCUUGCAUGCUCUCACUCGUGCUCUCUCUCUCUCUCUCUCUCUCUCUCUCUCUCUCUCUCUGCCCUGUUAAACUGACAGGACUUAAAAACACAUAUAAAAGAUAAACUUUCACUCUAUGAUGGUUAAGCUGUACAAUUAAUCCGCGAAUCACAUUCGUCAAGAGCUGGAGAGCAGCUGGCCCGUACAGUUAAUGAAUAACGAAUCAACUACGACAGCCUACAUCACACAUCCUGCGAUGUGACUAUCGUGCAGCCCUAGUUCCAGGUACUGGUGUUCUUGGGUACAGUUUUAAGGUUUCUGAGAGAAAUGAAAUAAAUUAGUGUUACAAUGUUGUAUUAGUUUUUAAACGCACAGUUACAUGCAGUAUAAUGUUACUUAUGUUUAUGAUAUUGUUUAAAAAAAAAAAGAAAUCUUGUAAAACUUAUGAAGGUUUAAAAAUAUUGUUGAUCUACAUGUUAUGCAUACAAAAUGAACUGUGUUUGUUUUUAUACUAGUCUAAUUAAAACUGAUAUGUAUUUUUAUUAAAUUUAAUAAUCAGAGAAGUUAUUUAUGCUAUGCUUUUGAAAGCACAAUGUUAUUUAGACAUGCCAUUUAAAUUACACAUUGUUCAAAUUGUUAAAUAAAGGAUUUACAAAAGUUUUGUGUUACGUGAAAUGAAACAUGCGACAACAAACCAUUGAAAUGUAUUAAAAUUUAAUUUUAGUGAAGUUAUUAAAAUUAUGUUAAGAUAACUUGAUUUAAUUGCACAGAAUUAACAUGAUUGAAGCAGAAAUCUGAAAUAAAAAAAUAAUGUUAAACUAGCAUAACUGAAUCAUGUUAGUAUAACUUGAAAAGACUAUGUACACAUUACUUUUUGAAAUUGCAUAGGAUUAACACAACCGUAUUAUAAUGAAACCACAUAAAUGCAUAGGAUACUUUGAACUCAAACUGAAUGUGUGGAACCAAUGUCCAUAAUUCGAUUGAGUAAAUCCAACAAAUCUUUUUUUUCAGUGUAUGCGCUCAUGGCCAUGUGUUGGCUCGUGGUGGGGGGCCCAGUAAUCAAAGCCAGGCCUCAGGAAGGGCAAGGAUAGAUCUGAGUUUGCAGCUGCUGAUGCCAUCUGAUUUAAGCACUGGCCCAGUAUUCACUAGCCCAUGCAUAGUCUGUUGACUGGAAAACAUUAUUGGAAAAAUAUGCUCAUCAUCAAAAUUUACUGUAUAUAUAUAUAUAUAUAUAUAUAUAUAUAUAUAUAUAUAUAUAUAUAUAUAUAUAUAUAUAAUAUGCGUGUGUGUGCGCAUGUUUGGGUAUGAAUAAACAGAAUAUGAAAUGUAAAAAAAAACAAAAACAAGGAACUACAUUGUUAAAAAUUUCUAAUGAUUUGAUAAUUAAAGUUUUUUCAUGUUUCAGAUUCGAAUGGGGACAGUGAAUUACCUGGAAUGGACCGUUUCUUUGUGGACAUUCGCCUUGGAUUCUCUGAAAAAGAGGAGGAUGCAGUUUUUACAGGAACUUGAUCUAGUUAAUGGUAUUGAAAUGGAAUCUUCUGUCAAUGGAGGGAGAGCUGGGGGAAGCCAGAAAACGCAAGACAGAAACUUACCGUUUCAUCAGGUAAUCGGUUUACCUUUUUUAUUCAUGUUAACGGACUGAAUUAUGGGAACAAAACAAAUGUUAAGUGCAGAUAUAUAGUUAGGAAUUGCAAUGUCUUGAUAAUAAAUGUAUUUACAAUACUGUGCGUAUGUGUAUACAGUGUAUAUAUAUAUAUAUGUUGUAUACACACACACACACACACACACACACACAUAAAAAAAAGUCAUUUCAUAAUAAAAAAAAAAAAAAAACACCUACCAAACCCAAACUUUUGAACUGCAGUGUAUCUUGUAUACAAAAAAAAGAAAAGGAAAUGAAAAAGGAAUUGUUCAUUUGGCAUGGUCAUCAAAAUUUCCUACAUUUUUGGUAAUCUUGACUUGGCAAACCAUGACAAAUGUUCCUUUAAUGUUCUUUUGUGAAAGUUAAGGUGUGUCAAAUUCCGAGAUGAAUGCCUAACUACACCCAGUCUUGAUUUCCCAUGAGCAGUUUGUAAUAUGUCAUUAAAUUCAUGGUUCCACACAAACCCCUCUUCCAUUUUCAGAUGAGCUAAUCAAAUAAAGUCAUAAAAAGGAGGAACAGGGCUUCACAUUCCAAAGGCCUUUGAUCUUUUUGCAAUGAAUCCAUGAGAUUACAUGCCUGAUUAUAUCCAGGUGUUGAGUCAUAACUUCAGAGGUUCAGAGCAUACAAAGUAAUAUUCCUCUUUAAGGCCUGCUAAUUUUUUCAAAGGCAGGUUCUUUAACACUAUACAGCCCGUUCAAAGUCAUAAGAUGUGAAUUCCUUCACUGAACUAACUCAUAAAUCCAGAAUUACCUUCCACAUAUCAUUUGCAGAGGUUUUGACUCUCACAAUGUUCGCCUGUCUAUGUCCACUCUGAUGAAAUACAGUAUUUCUACCC